GAAGGUGGGUGAACUUGUGUGAGAAUCUUUACCUCUCCACCUCAGCAAACUGGGAAUCACAGAAUUAAAAGUAUCAUAGACCCAUUUUGAAGAUCAAAUAAAAUACUGAGUCAUCUGGAUACCCAACCCUUUGGCUGAGGGGACAUGAGUUACUGUAUCCAACUGGAGGAAAUAUCACCUGGAAAAUGGAAGAGGUGAUUUAAAAAUGUUUUAUGAGGCUUCUGGGAAAAUAAUCACACUCGAAGGAGCCUAUGUGUGAGAAGCCUGGUGUUGAAUCACCUAUGCAUUCCUUUUGUGGGAUUCACUGAAAGACUAUUGGCUGAGGAGGAGACCAGUAGACUGGCCAGUGUUCACAUUCAUUCUUCCCUCUGUUGACAGCCAAAUAAAUGUUCAGAGUUCUUCCCAACAGAGGCUGCACACCUCAUACUCACAUUGCAGAGAAUAAUUUUUAGAUUUAUGAUUUUUUCGGUGCCAAGUUUAUGUGUGUGUGCGUGUAUGAUAAAAUAUCCCAUUAGUGAUCAUGAGAUUGUUCAAAUAAAGUGGAAUCCAUUUGUUGAACAA